rnacentral:rRNA from 1 species
GACAGAGGAUGCAAACGUUGCUCGGAAUUACUGGGCGUAAAGCGCGCGCAGGUGGCUUGGUAAGUCGGGUGUGAAAUCCCGGGGCUCAACUGGGGAGGGUCAUUCGAUACUGUUCGACUUGAAGGCAGGAGAGAGAAGCAGAAUUCCCGGUGUAGUGGUGAAAUGCGUAGAUAUCGGGAGGAAUACCAGUGGCGAAGGCGGCUUCUUGGCCUGUUCUUGACGCUGAGGCGCGAAAGCUGGGGGAGCAAACGGG